rnacentral:rRNA from 1 species
AGCGAACGCUGGCGGCAGGCCUAACACAUGCAAGUCGAACGAACUCUUCGGAGUUAGUGGCGGACGGGUGAGUAACACGUGGGAACGUGCCUUUUGGUUCGGAAUAACUCAGGGAAACUUGUGCUAAUACCGAAUGUGCCCUUCGGGGGAAAGAUUUAUCGCCAUUAGAGCGGCCCGCGUCUGAUUAGCCAGUUGGUGAGGUAACGGCUCACCAAGGCGACGAUCAGUAGCUGGUCUGAGAGGAUGACCAGCCACACUGGGACUGAGACACGGCCCAGACUCCUACGGGAGGCAGCAGUGGGGAAUCUUGCGCAAUGGGCGAAAGCCUGACGCAGCCAUGCCGCGUGAAUGAUGAAGGUCUUAGGAUUGUAAAAUUCUUUCACCGGGGACGAUAAUGACGGUACCCGGAGAAGAAGCCCCGGCUAACUUCGUG